GACGAACGCUGGCGGCGUGCUUAACACAUGCAAGUCGAACGGAAAGGCCCUGCUUGCCUGGUCCUCGCGUGGCGAACGGGUGAGUAACACGCGUGUGUUCUGCCCUUCACUUCGGGAUAAGCCUGGGAAACUGGGUCUAAUAUCGGACAGAAGCCAUUUUUAUUCUGAUGGUUUGAAAGUUUUUUCGGUGUAGGCUGGGUGCGCGUGCUAUCAGCUUGUUGGUGGUGGAAUGGCCUACCAAGGCGGCGACGGGUAGCCGGCCUUGGAGGGUGGACGGGCACAUUGGGACUGAGAGACGGAGCAGACGCCUACGGGAGGCAGCAGUGGGGAAUAUUGCACAAUGGGCGCGAGCCAGAUGCAGCGACGCCGCGAGGGGGAUGACGGGCUUCGGGUUGAAAACUCCUUUCGCUAGGGACGAAGCUUUUUGUGACGGUACCUAGACAAGAAGCAACGGCUAACUACGUG
rnacentral:rRNA from 1 species